rnacentral:rRNA from 1 species
GGUUAAGCGACUAAGCGUACACGGUGGAUGCCCUGGCAGUCAGAGGCGAUGAAGGACGUGCUAAUCUGCGAUAAGCGUCGGUAAGGUGAUAUGAACCGUUAUAACCGGCGAUUUCCGAAUGGGGAAACCCAGUGUGAUUCGUCACACUAUCAUUAACUGAAUCCAUAGGUUAAUGAGGCGAACCGGGGGAACUGAAACAUCUAAGUACCCCGAGGAAAAGAAAUCAACCGAGAUUCCCCCAGUAGCGGCGAGCGAACGGGGAGGAGCCCAGAGCCUGAAUCAGUGUGUGUGUUAGUGGAAGCGUCUGGAAAGGCGCGCGAUACAGGGUGACAGCCCCGUACACAAAAAUGCACAUGCUGUGAGCUCGAUGAGUAGGGCGGGACACGUGGUAUCCUGUCUGAAUAUGGGGGGACCAUCCUCCAAGGCUAAAUACUCCUGACUGACCGAUAGUGAACCAGUACCGUGAGGGAAAGGCGAAAAGAACCCCGGCGAGGGGAGUGAAAAAGAACCUGAAACCGUGUACGUACAAGCAGUGGGAGCACAGAGCAAUCUGUGUGACUGCGUACCUUUUGUAUAAUGGGUCAGCGACUUAUAUUCUGUAGCAAGGUUAACCGAAUAGGGGAGCCGAAGGGAAACCGAGUCUUAACCGGGCGUUAAGUUGCAGGGUAUAGACCCGAAACCCGGUGAUCUAGCCAUGGGCAGGUUGAAGGUUGGGUAACACUAACUGGAGGACCGAACCGACUAAUGUUGAAAAAUUAGCGGAUGACUUGUGGCUGGGGGUGAAAGGCCAAUCAAACCGGGAGAUAGCUGGUUCUCCCCGAAAGCUAUUUAGGUAGCGCCUCGUGAAUUCAUCUCCGGGGGUAGAGCACUGUUUCGGCAAGGGGGUCAUCCCGACUUACCAACCCGAUGCAAACUGCGAAUACCGGAGAAUGUUAUCACGGGAGACACACGGCGGGUGCUAACGUCCGUCGUGAAGAGGGAAACAACCCAGACCGCCAGCUAAGGUCCCAAAGUCAUGGUUAAGUGGGAAACGAUGUGGGAAGGCCCAGACAGCCAGGAUGUUGGCUUAGAAGCAGCCAUCAUUUAAAGAAAGCGUAAUAGCUCACUGGUCGAGUCGGCCUGCGCGGAAGAUGUAACGGGGCUAAACCAUGCACCGAAGCUGCGGCAGCGACACUGUGUGUUGUUGGGUAGGGGAGCGUUCUGUAAGCCUGUGAAGGUGUGCUGUGAGGCAUGCUGGAGGUAUCAGAAGUGCGAAUGCUGACAUAAGUAACGAUAAAGCGGGUGAAAAGCCCGCUCGCCGGAAGACCAAGGGUUCCUGUCCAACGUUAAUCGGGGCAGGGUGAGUCGACCCCUAAGGCGAGGCCGAAAGGCGUAGUCGAUGGGAAACAGGUUAAUAUUCCUGUACUUGGUGUUACUGCGAAGGGGGGACGGAGAAGGCUAUGUUGGCCGGGCGACGGUUGUCCCGGUUUAAGCGUGUAGGCUGGUUUUCCAGGCAAAUCCGGAAAAUCAAGGCUGAGGCGUGAUGACGAGGCACUACGGUGCUGAAGCAACAAAUGCCCUGCUUCCAGGAAAAGCCUCUAAGCAUCAGGUAACAUCAAAUCGUACCCCAAACCGACACAGGUGGUCAGGUAGAGAAUACCAAGGCGCUUGAGAGAACUCGGGUGAAGGAACUAGGCAAAAUGGUGCCGUAACUUCG